GGCAAGGCACAGCAGGGCUGAGGGGUCCUCCCAAGAUUAGGCCUCUGCCAAGCCACACCCACUGUGGCAGUGUCGGCAGCAGGCGUGCCAGGCCCCAAGGCCCAGUGUGAGGGCAGAGGGCUGCUGGUGACCACGGGAAAGUCACUUUCCUCCUGGCUUUCACCGCUUCACCCGUCCUAGGGGGGCAGCCACCCCCUCCUGCUCUGCUAUGCCCUAGACCAGGAAGGGGGUGCAAGGGCGAGGACGGCGUCUGCCGAAGUCACUCGCUCCCCUUGACACACCCCAGCAAAGAGGGCACAGGGCCAGCGUCAGCCUGGCCUCCUUGACGACAGUCCCCAGGGCCCGCAGAAGGAGGCGGCAGGCAGAGGAGCUGGGCACAUGAGUGUCUGCAGCUGGCACAGGACUGCUCAGGACACGGGCGCACGAAGGGACCCAUCAGCCGGAAGCAGAGGAAUCAACAGUUGCCUCUCACAGGGACACAACCUUUUCUAGUCUUCUUUUUCUUCAGUACUGGGAAUUGAACCCAAGACCUUUGCACUGAGCUACUGCCCCCCAGCCCCCUUUAAAGGCAGGACCUUUGGCGGCUUUGCUGAUGGCUGUGCCAUCCGGGGGCAUGAGUUACGGCCCCAGCGCUGCUGAGUGUGCUCGAGGAGAGUAUGAACUGCCAAGGGCCCCUCGGCAGCUGCCCAGGGGAGGGGCCCGUCCCCAGGCCAGCGAUAGCCACAGCAACACCCCCGGAGAUGACCCUUCCUGCCCUGCCCCCUCCUGGUAACCGAAGUCUCUGGGUCCUUCCAGCACCUGCUGCUUCCUUAGUCCAAAAUAACUCCGGUCCUGAGGAGGCCUAGCAGAGGCCAGGGGUCCAAGAUGGAGUUGGGUUACGGGCUGAGCACCCUGGCCUUAUAAGCCCCGCCCCCCCGUGCCUGGGCCCCAGGGUGACAGGGUGGUCUGCUAGGGGGCUGGGGGAGCUGAGGCCCAGAGAACAGUGACUUUAACCCCAAUCGCAAGGCAAAGCCACGGCAAGGCCCAGCUCUCCCGGCUUCUGAUGUGAGCGCCGCCUUCCCGGUGGUUGGUGACAGGCCGGGGUUCAAACCCCAACUCAGUCACUCUGCUGCGUGACCUUGGGCAGCCAG